rnacentral:rRNA from 1 species
CUAUACAUGCAGUCGAGCGAACAGAUAAGGAGCUUGCUCCUUUGACGUUAGCGGCGGCACGGGUGAGUAACACGUGGAUAACCUACCUAUAAGACUGGGAUAACUUCGGGAAACCGGAGCUAAUACCGGAUAAGAUUUUGAACCGCAUGGUUCAAUAGUGAAAGACGGCCUUGCUGUCACUUAUAGAUGGAUCCGCGCCGUAUUAGCUAGUUGGUAAGGUAACGGCUUACCAAGGCAACGAUACGUAGCCGACCUGAGAGGGUGAUCGGCCACACUGGAACUGAGACACGGUCCAGACUCCUACGGGAGGCAGCAGUAGGGAAUCUUCCGCAAUGGGCGAAAGCCUGACGGAACACGCCG